rnacentral:rRNA from 1 species
UAAGGAAUAUUGGUCAAUGGACGCAAGUCUGAACCAGCCAUGCCGCGUGGAGGAUGAAGGUCCUCUGGAUUGUAAACUUCUUUUAUUUGGGAAGAAACCCAUAUUUUCUAAUGUGGUUGACGGUACCAGAUGAAUAAGCACCGGCUAACUCCGUGCCAGCAGCCGCGGUAAUACGGAGGGUGCAAGCGUUAUCCGGAUUCACUGGGUUUAAAGGGUGCGUAGGCGGGUUGGUAAGUCCGUGGUGAAAUCUCCAAGCUUAACUUGGAAACUGCCGUGGAUACUAUCAAUCUUGAAUAUCGUGGAGGUAAGCGGAAUAUGUCAUGUAGCGGUGAAAUGCUUAGAUAUGACAUAGAACACCAAUUGCGUAGGCAGCUUACUACACGAUCAUUGACGCUGAGGCACGAAAGCGUGGGGAGCAAACA